rnacentral:rRNA from 1 species
GAUGAACGCUGGCGGCGUGCCUAAUACAUGCAAGUCGAGCGAACAGAUAAGGAGCUUGCUCCUUUGACGUUAGCGGCGGACGGGUGAGUAACACGUGGGUAACCUACCUAUAAGACUGGGAUAACUUCGGGAAACCGGAGCUAAUACCGGAUAACAUUUUGAACCGCAUGGUUCUAAAGUGAAAGAUGGUUUUGCUAUCACUUAUAGAUGGACCCGCGCCGUAUUAGCUAGUUGGUAAGGUAACGGCUUACCAAGGCAACGAUACGUAGCCGACCUGAGAGGGUGAUCGGCCACACUGGAACUGAGACACGGGCCAGACUCCUACGGGAGGCAGCAGUAGGGAAUCUUCCGCAAUGGGCGAAAGCCUGACGGAGCAACGCCGCGUGAGUGAUGAAGGGUUUCGGCUCGUAAAACUCUUUUAUUAGGGAAGAACAAACGUGUAAGUAACUGUGCACGUCUUGACGGUACCUAAUCAGAAAGCCACGGCUAACUACGUG